rnacentral:rRNA from 1 species
CCUAUGGGUGGCAGCAGUGGGGGAUAUUGCACAAUGGGGGAAACCCUGAUGCAGCAACGCCGCGUGUGGGAAGAAGGCUUUCGGAUUGUAAACCACUGUUCUCGGUGAAGAUAAUGACGGUAUCCAUGGCGAAUGCUCCGGCUAACUACGUGCCAGCAGCCGCGGUAAUACGUAGGGAGCAAGCGUUGUCCGGAUUUACUGGGUGUAAAGGGUGCGUAGGCGGGCUUGCAAGUCAGACGUGAAAACCACAGGCUCAACCUGUGGACUGCGUUUGAAACUGUGGGGCUUGAGUGAAGUAGAGGUAGGCGGAAGUCCCGGUGUAGCGGUGAAAUGCGUAGAUAUUGGGAGGAACACCAGUGGCGAAGGCGGCCUGCUGGACAUUAACUGACGCUGAGGCGCGAAAGCGUGGGGAGCAAACAGGAUUAGAUACCCCAGUAGUC